rnacentral:snRNA from 1 species
AUACCGUUCAAGCCUUUUGGCUAUGAUCAAUGUGUAGUAUCUGUUCUUCUUAGUUUGACCACUAAGACUAGUCCACUGGACUAAUAGUGAUCAUUUUAUUUUUAGGACGUUGGCUUGGUGAGUUUAAAAGUCUGCAUGCAGACUCUCACGGGAGCACUGGUGCCUUUAGCCUUGCACUUUAUGCUAAGUGGCGCCGAGCAAAC